rnacentral:rRNA from 1 species
CCUACGGGGGGCUGCAGUGAGGAAUAUUGGUCAAUGGGCGGAAGCCUGAACCAGCCAAGUAGCGUGCAGGAUGACGGCCCUACGGGUUGUAAACUGCUUUUAUACGGGAAUAACGCGCCUUACGUGUAGGGCUUUGCAUGUACCGUAUGAAUAAGGACCGGCUAAUUCCGUGCCCGCAACCGGGGUAAUAAGGAAGGUCCGGGCCUUAUCCGGGUUUAUUGGGUUUAAAGGGAGCGUAGGGCGGAUGUCAAGCGUGCUGUGAAAUGUUCGGGCUCAACCCGGGUCUUGCAACGCGAACUGGCGUGCUUGAGUCCGCGGAAAGCAGGCGGAAUUCGUCGUGUAGCGGUGAAAUGCUUAGAUAUGACGAAGAACCCCGAUUGCGAAGGCAGCUUGCUGCAGCGGAACUGACGCUGAUGCUCGAAAGCGCGGGUAUCGAACAGGAUUAGAUACCCCUGUAGUC